ACAGGAACAUACCAGGAAAAUGACCCUCCAAGGGCCAGGUGGUGGACAGAACUCCAAGGUCCUCCCCUAGAGUGGCGGGAGGGGAGACUGUGGUGGGGUAGUCCUUUGCACCCACACAACAGAGGUGCGGGGCUGUCACUCGCAGAGACCGAGUUUCCCUCAUAGCCGAGUAGUCAGCUUCUCCCACCAGCCAUGCGGUGAAAGGGCUCAUGGAGGCGACUGUGUGGCCAAAACCUGAGGCUGCAGCCCCACCCACUUCAUUCAUCAAGAAGAAAACGGCCCUUGGUCCUAUAACUGCGAGGAACGGGUUCUGCCAGCCACCCAGCUGGGCCUGGAAGAGGACCGCAGGUGAGGACACAGCCCUGGCUGACACGGGUCUGACCCCGUGAGACCCUGGGUGGAGCUCCCGGUAAACGCACGUCCAGAGCCUGACCCAUGGAAGCUGUGUGGUAACGAGCCUGCUGUGUGAAGCUGCUAAAUUUGUGUUGACUUUUCAUGCUGCCAACAGGAGACAGACACAACUGCUUCCCAGGACAAAGCAAGGGCAGGACUUAAAAAGACAAAAGCACAAGUCUUACAAGGAAAGGGACUGGUGUCUCAGCUGAGGAUUGGCUUGUGGGCAGACUGCUGAGUCACAGCUCCCCUCAGGUUUCUCCAGAACCGUGCCGAUCCACUGUCACUGUGAGGCGGAGGCCAGAGGGCGGAGCUGCCCCACAGACCAGAGCACCCGCGAUCCACCCUCACACUGCUGUCUUCCCAGAGGUGGUCACUUGCGCAUGUGUUAGUCCUUCUUCGGGAGUCCUGGUGGUCUGCUACGGCACUGUCUCACUCCAUGGGCCAGGGGACUCCAGAUCCCAUGUCUGAUGGUCUGUGCGUCCCGAGGGGGCUCUCAGCCCUGCUGGUGGAGGCCCACAAGUCAGAUGACACGCUGAGAUGGGGCUGAGAGACCACUGAUGCAUCGAGACAGUGAUUUGAAAAUACAGACAAGAACACUUGGAAACACAGAAGCAUUAUUUCAUGGACCAGGCAACCCCUUCACCCUGAGAAACCAUCAAGAACCCAAGACCAAGGAUUUUAGCAGUCAUGGUCAAACCCUCGGCAAGCGGUUUCCUGCGUGGUGUCUUUGACGGGAACAGGCACACCUCACUUUACUGCGCUUCACAGAUGAUGCAUUUUUACAAACUGAAGGUCUGUGGUGACCCUGCGUCAGGCAAGCCCACCAGUGCCGUUUUCCCAACAGCACUUGCUCACCCCGUGCUUCUGUGUCACAUUUUGGUAAUUCUCACAUUUUUAACCCUCCACCAGCAAGAAAGGCAUGACUCACUGAAGGCCCAGAUGAUGGUUCGCAUUUUUUAGAGAUAACAAAUUUUUUAACUAAUGCAUGUGCACUUUUUAGACAUAAUGCUGUUAUGCACUUAAUAGAUUAUGGUAUAAAUGUGGCUUUUACAUAGGCCGGGAAACCACAGAAUCUGUGUGCCUCGUUUUGUCAUGGCAUUCACUUUACUGCAGUGGCCGGAGCCUGACCCGUGGCGCCCUGCAGCCCACCUGUGCUCUCCCCACUGGCCUGUUCUGUUUGAGAAGGUGCGGGGAGGCCAGCCAACCAACGUGCAGACACUGCUCACGUUGCUCAUGAACUGGAGCCAGACCCCGGGUGGCAAGGUGGCUUCUGCAUUUCCAUCUUUCCCGUCACGCCAGGAAGAUCUCCUCAUCAUCCUUAUCGCUUCAUCAUUUCUGUAGCCAGGAGUCAGGAACCAUCGAUUUACUUCCAUCAGAUGUGAGUCACCUCACCCACAAGAUGCCCGUGUCCACCGACUUUCUGGUGAGUCGGUAAGGGAUGGUGUUUUCAUUUGAGCUGACAGAGUUGCUUCCCCGAGGCUGUGGUUUAUCCGCUCUGACACUCUAUACAGGAACACGGAACUGAGCGAUUACACGAGAGGGUAAGAAGAGGGGCUGGGAAGACCCACGUGGCCCUGGGCAACAGCUGGGGACAAUGAGACGAACUCGUGUUAGCAGACACAAACACAGGCGCGUGAAAACGGCGGUGGAUGUGCUGAUGCAGGGCCACCUCUGUUGUCUGCGAAGGCCCGCAGCAGUGAGCGUGCCCAGCUCCAGACCUUGGUUUCUAAGAUCGUUUUCCAACAAAGGAACCAGGGCUCCUUGGAGAAAUGGCUGCCUUUAGGGCUGGGAGGAAACAUACUAAAUAAACCUGGAGAGCCUGUACUGCUGGAAAGGAAGUGUUGGGAAAAAAGAAAAAAGAACUAGGGGGUGGGGGCCCAGGGCCAAGAGCUGGAGCCAGGGGUGCUGGACUGUAACCUGAAAUGGAAAGUCACACUCCCAGAAAUAAGUGGCUGCUCACGUAAAUGGAAUUCUUCAUGCAGGAGAAUUCCAAAUGAUUUACAGAGAAAAAGCAGGAGCAUGGCUCCCCUCAUGGAAGGCGCAGGAGGGUCCCUGGCUGCCCAGGUCCUGGGGCACAUGGUGCUGCUGGGGUGGCUCACGGGGGCUGACGAGCCCCAUGGCUUCACUUCAGCAACUGGGGGUCGGGGCGGCCACUACCCAGGGUCUUCUGUCCACGCGGCCUCUUCCCACCACGUGACCUGUCGCUUGGCCGCCUACGCCAGGCUUCCUUCCACUGAUAGAAGCUGCCAGAACCCUUGCGGCCAGAGCUUGGAAGCAUCUGCCUCUUUCUACUGGAAGACAGGGAGUUCCACUGACAUGCUCAGAGAAUGUUCCCGGUCAUACAACCCAAGAAUCUAAUCACAUUCUCGGCAAGUGAGAGACCCUGGGACUUGGUCUCUGCACCCUCCACGGCUGCCCAGUGGACUUCAAUACAAUUGUGUUUCAACCCAGUGCAGUGAAAGGUUCACCCCUGGGAAGCUCACAUUGUCCCACCUUCGGAAAGCGAAACUUCCAAGCGGGCCCGAGCCCUGCGAGCUGGCCGCAGCCUCUGACAUGGAGACGGGGACCCUCCUGCCCGCCCUGCCAUGCCUCACAUGUCAGGACUGCAGGAAACUAUGGAGGACGGGCUCUUGCAAAGUAAGGGGAAGAAAACGGAAGGAUCAGGGAAGGAGAGAGUGUCUGCGGGAUGCCCCAGGAACAAAGCUGAGCCCAAGUGCGGCGGGCCUGCCGCUGCUGGACAAGCAGGAAGUCCAGGAAGAGACUCUGUCCUGAGAUGAGCAAACCUCGGAUGCUCCUGCGAGCCGGGCUGAGAACUUGGUGCUGAAACCGUGACGAGGGCACAGAGAACCAGAGCAACCGGAGAGAAGAGAGAAAACCAGGGAAAACAACAUGCAGAGGGAAAGAAAAGCAGCGACAGCUGCCAGCCCGUCCGUGGUCAGUCAUGUAAACAGACUUUCACACACCCCGACUCACGGGCCGCCAGGUCAGAGGAGGGAUGGAGGGGGCAGCACAAGAGAGGCCAACAGGUAACACCUGCAAUGAAAACAAAACGCAGGGACAUGAGAAUUGUAUUUGAUUAGCAAGUGUGAACUCAGUCUAAUGGAUUGGAAAUAGUAUUUUUUAAUGAAGUAGACCAGAAAACACCUGAGAUGACUGCACUGAAGAGAGGUAUGUAUUUUUUUUUAAUUUUUCAAGUGUGGGUAGUGAUACAUAAAAUGUAUUUCUUAUUUUGAGUUUUGGUCAAAAAGUCCAAAAUCCUCCAAUUUAGAGAUAUUGUAAUACCAAAAGAAUCAUCUGAAAGGGCUGAGACUGCCUCUGGGAAGGUGGUGUGGGGAGGAGAGACUAGCUUUUUUU